ensembl:lncRNA
AUGCUCAUCUUUUGUCCCAUCUUUCUCUAGGUCAGCGUUCCUUUUUUAAGAUCGUGGAAAUUGUCAAGAGUUUUCGUAUCCAGAAUCUUCCAUCAAGAGGUUCCAUAAAAAGAUGAAUGAUCUCUCAUUUCAGGUGGCCUUGGGGACCAUAGACUCACAGGAGAUGUUACUCAAGGGACUUCCUUGAGAACUUCAUAAACAAGGACCUGGAGUCACCAGAUAAUGAAUUAAUAGGAUUUUGGAUGAACAACCCCAGCCCCAGGCUCACUUGGCAAAAUAAAGUGGAAAUUUCAGAUGUUUUUUUCCAUAAAUUUAUAAGGGAUGUCAUAAUAACCAAGGCCAGAAGCACAAUCUGUGGUGAGAACAGAAGAACAUAGGACAUAAAGGAAAAAAAACUACAAAGCAAAUCAUACACCCUUCACUGUCGUCUUCAGAAUAUGGAUGAAAGGGGGAAGCAGAUAGCUCCCUUGAGGGGGCAGUUUUUUGGUUUUAGUAAAGCUAUGGAAACCUUAUGGCAGAAAGUGAAGAAGAACUAAAGAACUUCUUGAUGAAAGUGAAAGAUGAGAGUGAAAAAGUUGGCUUAAAACUCAGCAUUCAGAAAACUAAGAUCAUGGCAUCCAGUCCCAUCACUUCCUGGCAAAAUAGAUGGGGAAAUAAUGGAAGCAGUGAGAGACUUUAUUUUCUUGGGCUCCAAAAUCACUGCAGAUGGUGACUGCAGCCAUGAAAUUAAAAGACACUUGCUCCUUGGAAGAAAAGCUAUGACCAACCUAGACAGCAUAUUAAAAAGCAGAGACAUACUUUGCCAACAAUGGUCUGUCUAGUCAAAGCUAUGGUUUUUCCAGUAACCAUGUAUGGAUGUGAGAGUUGGACUAUAAAGAAAGCUGAGCACGGAAGAACUGAUGCUUUGAACUGUAGUGUUGGAGAAGACUCUUGAGAGUCUCUUGGACUGCAAGGAGAUCCAACCAGUCCAUCCUAAAGGAAAUCAGUCCUGAAUAUUCAUUGGAAGGACUGAUGUUGAAGCUGAAACUCCAAUACUUUGGCCACCUGAUGCGAAGAACUGACUCAUUGGAAAAGACUCUGAUGCUGGGAAAGAUUGAAGGCAGGAGGAGAAGGGGACGACAGAGGAUGAGAUGGUUGGCAUCACCAACUCGAUGGAUGUGAGUUUAAGUAAGCUCUGAGAGUUGGUAAUGGACAGGGAAGCCUGGCAUGCUGCAGUCCGUGGGGUCACAGAGUCGGAAACAACUGAGCAACUGAACUGAACUGAAAGCUAUGGAAAGCCUUGCAAUGCACAUUUUUGUGCUCACGAGCAGUAGUACUUUCUGAAAUGUCAUCAGAAGCCAUCAGUGCUUUUCCAUUGGUUAGGAAAAUCAGCUCAAAUGACACUGCAUAUAAUUGUCCUUAGUUGUUGAAAACAGCUUAGGCCAGUCAACAUCUUUGUACCGUGUAUAAGUGGCAAAGCAAUGGAUAAUCAGCAACCAUAUCCACACUACUUACAUUGAAAACUUACCCUAAAAGAGAAGUUACUGAUCACACAGCAAGGAAGAAGGGUCGAU